rnacentral:rRNA from 1 species
GAUGAACGCUGGCGGCGUGCCUAAUACAUGCAAGUCGAGCGAAUGGAUUAAGAGCUUGCUCUUAUGAAGUUAGCGGCGGACGGGUGAGUAACACGUGGGUAACCUGCCCAUAGACUGGGAUAACUCCGGGAAACCGGGGCUAAUACCGGAUAAUAUUUUGAACUGCAUGGUUCAAAAUUGAAAGGCGGCUUCAGCUGUCACUUAUGGAUGGACCCGCGUCGCAUUAGCUAGUUGGUGAGGUAACGGCUCACCAAGGCAACGAUGCGUAGCCGACCGGAGAGGGUGAUCGGCCACACUGGGACUGAGACACGGCCCAGACUCCUACGGGAGGCAGCAGUAGGGAAUCUUCCGCAACGGACGAAAGUCUGACGGAGCAACGCCGCGUGAGUGAUGAAGGCUUUCGGGUCGUAAAACUCUGUUGUUAGGGAAGAACAAGUGCUAGUUGAAUAAGCUGGCACCUUGACGGUACCUAACCAGAAAGCCACGGCUAACUACGUGCCAGCCGCCGCCGUAA